rnacentral:rRNA from 1 species
GACGAACGCUGGCGGCGUGCUUAACACAUGCAAGUCGAACCGAAAGGCCCCUUCGGGGGUACUCGAGUGGCGAACAGGUGAGUAACACGUGAGUAACCUGCCCUUGACUUCGGGAUAACUUCAGGAAACUGGGGCUAAUACCGGAUAGGAAUCCUUGCUGCAUGGUGGGGGUUGGAAAGCUUCGGCGGUUUUGGAUGGACUCGCGGCUUAUCAGCUUGUUGGUGGGGUAGUGGCUUACCAAGGCUUUGACGGGUAGCCGGCCUGAGAGGGCGACCGGCCACAUUGGGACUGAGAUACGGCCCAGACUCCUACGGGAGGCAGCAGUGGGGAAUAUUGCACAAUGGGCGGAAGCCUGAUGCAGCAACGCCGCGUGCGGGAUGACGGCCUUCGGGUUGUAAACCGCUUUCAGCAGGGGCGAAGCUUGUGGUGACGGUACCUGCAGAAGAAGCACCGGCUAACUACGUG